rnacentral:rRNA from 1 species
CUUGGUCAUUUAGAGGAAGUAAAAGUCGUAACAAGGUUUCCGUAGGUGAACCUGCGGAAGGAUCAUUAUUGAAAGUAAACUUGAUAGGUUGUCGCUGGUUUUUUAAACAUGUGCACGCUUGUCAUCUUUAUAUCUCCACCUGUGCACCUUUUGUAGACCCAAGAUAUCUCUCUGAAUGCUCGCAUUCAGGUUUGAGGAUUGACUUACUUUCCUUAUAUUUCUUGGGCCUAUGUUUCUUCAUUAUACCCCAAUGUAUGUUAUAGAAUGUAAUGAAAUGGUUUAUAAACCUAUACAACUUUCAGCAACGGAUCUCUUGGCUCUCGCAUCGAUGAAGAACGCAGCGAAAUGCGAUAAGUAAUGUGAAUUGCAGAAUUCAGUGAAUCAUCGAAUCUUUGAACGCACCUUGCGCUCCUUGGUAUUCCGAGGAGCAUGCCUGUUUGAGUGUCAUUAAUAUAUCAAUCCUUGCUUGUCAAGUGGUUGGAUUUGGGGGUUUCUUUUGUCGGCUGAGGUCAACUCCCCUGAAAUGCAUUAAUUGUUCAUUGGUGUGAUAACUUCAUCUACGCUAUUGACAUAUCUUCUUCAUUAAUGUGACCUCAAAUCAGGUAGGACUACCCGCUGAACUUAAGCAUAUCAAUAAGCGGAGGAAAAGAAACUAACAAGGAUUCCCCUAGUAACUGCGAGUGAAGCGGGAAAAGCUCAAAUUUAAAAUCUGUCAGUCUUUGGCUGUCCGAGUUGUAAUCUAGAGAAGUGUUAUCCGCGCUGGACCGUGUACAAGUCUCCUGGAAUGGAGCGUCAUAGAGGGUGAGAAUCCCGUCUUUGACACGGACUACCAGGGCUUUGUGAUGCGCUCUCAAAAAGUCGAGUUGUUUGGGAAUGCAGCUCAAAAUGGGUGGUAAAUUCCAUCUAAAGCUAAAUAUUGGCGAGAGACCGAUAGCGAACAAGCACCGUGAGGGAAAGAUGAAAAGAACUUUGGAAAGAGAGUUAAACAGUACGUGAAAUUGCUGAAAGGGAAACGCUUGAAGUCAGUCGCGUCGUCCAGGGAUCAACCUUGCUUUUGCCUGGUGUACUUUCUGGUUUGACGGGUCAGCAUCAAUUUUGAUUAUUGGAAAAAGAUUAAGGGAAUGUGGCAUCUUUGGAUGUGUUAUAGCCCUUGAUUGCAUACAAUAGUUGGGAUUGAGGAACUCAGCACGCCGCAAGGCCGGGUUUUAUAACCACGUACGUGCUUAGGAUGCUGGCAUAAUGGCUUUAAUCGACCCGUCUUGAAACACGGACC